CUUUCGUUCUCCUCUAUUAAAAUGGCCCAAAGUCUAACUCUUCAACAUAGAUCAAUUGGUUAGUAUUGGGCUUGUUAUGCCAUCCUUCUCUGAACCAUUCACCCCCAACCAUUUUCUGCUUCAAACCUUGAAUUACUUUUAGGCAACUUUGCUCUUUCAAGCCUUUUAAGGUAACAUACUUCAAAAACAAAAAAGAGUUAGAACCAUGAGUAGCAGAAAUGAAAGCUAUCCAAAACUUGGCUUGGAUUUGAACCUACCCCCACCAACGAUUGUUAACCAUAGACUUGAGUCCCCGGCUCGAUCAACAACGGUCUUACCAACAUCACCAUCAAACUCAUGUGUGUCCACUGAACUCAACCAAGAUGACAACAACAACAAUAAUAGCAACAACAAUCUUGAAUACUCCAACAACUCUGAAGCCAUUUUUGUGGUGCUAGUAGGGUGCUCUUACUGCCUUAUGUAUCUGAUGGUCAAUGAAGGUGACCUCAAGUGCCCCAAAUGCAAAAGCACCAAUUUGAUUCAUUUUCUUAAUUUCAACAACAUCCCAUAAGGAGGGGACACAAUGUUAUGCUACCUUGUCGUGAUUUCUGCAUUUUGUGUUGCAAGUAGGAUAUGUUAGAUUUUAAAAAAAGAAAUCUCCUUUUUAGGAUAUUUCUUUCAUAUCAUGUUUUCUCUCUUUUUUCUAAACCUUUUUUUAUGAGUUAUGCUACUUGCACUCCACUUUAUACCAUUAUCUCCUGUACUUAGUAAGGAAAUCACAAAAGAGUUGAGUGUAAGUAGCACAACAUGUCAAGAGGUUAUGCUUAAUAAAUGGUUGUCUAACCAA